rnacentral:rRNA from 1 species
CUUGGGAACAUGCCUUGAGGUGGGGGACNNCCAUUGNANNCGAUGGCUAAUACCGCAUAAUGUCUACGGACCAAAGGGGGCUUCGGCUCUCGCCUUUAGAUUGGCCCAAGUGGGAUUAGCUAGUUGGUGAGGUAACGGCUCACCAAGGCGACGAUCCCUAGCUGGUUUGAGAGGAUGAUCAGCCACACUGGAACUGAGACACGGUCCAGACUCCUACGGGAGGCAGCAGNGGGGAAUAUUGCACAAUGGGCGCAAGCCUGAUGCAGCCAUGCCGCGUGUGUGAAGAAGGCCUUAGGGNUGUAAAGCACUUUCNNNCNGGANGANAGGUUAGUAGUUAAUACCUGCUAGCUGUGACGUUACUGACAGAAGAAGCACCGGCUAACUCCGUGCCNNCANCCGNGGUAAUACGGAGGGUGCGAGCGUUAAUCGGAANNANUGGGCGUAAAGCGUACGCAGGCGGUUUUGNUAANCGAGAUGUGAAAAGCCCCGGNCUUAACCUGGGAACUGCNUUUCGAACUGAGCAAACUAGAGUG